AUCCAUAUGACGAGUCCUAAAUGGGAUGAAACGUGCGUCCUGCAU
rfam:Schistosoma rodhaini strain Burundi genome assembly, scaffold: SROB_scaffold0001041